AUGAACGCUUGGCAGUCGCGUGUUGAUAAUUACUCCCUGGUUCAGUGCGGCAUGCUUUACAGCUUAGAACUGGGGCUCCAAAAGCGUUUUGAGCAGCACGGAGCAUAUGAGAUGUUCCAAGAGCUGAAAAUGGUUUUCCAAGCUCAUGCCCGGGUCGAGAGAUAUGAAGUCUCUGACAAGUUCUACAGUUGUAAGAUGGAGGAGAAUAGUUCCGUCAGCGAACACAUACUCAAAAUGUCUGGGUUGCACAACCGCUUGUCUCGGCUGGGAGUUAAUCUCCCGGAUGACGCGGUCGUUGACAGAAUCCUUCAGUCGCUUCCACCUAGCUACAAGAGCUUUGUGAUGAACUUCAAUAUGCAGGGGAUGGAGAAAUCCAUUCCUGAGGUAUAUUCGAUGCUGAAAUCAGCGGAGGUGGAGAUCAAAAAGGAACAUCAAGUGUUGAUGGUGAAUAAGACCACUAAGUUCAAGAAGGGCAAGGGUAAAAAGAGCUUCAAGAAGGACGGCAAGGGAGUUGCCGCGCCCGGUAAGCAAGCUGCCGGGAGGAAGCCAAAGAAUGGACCCAAGCCUGAGACUGAGUGCUUUUAUUGCAAGGGAAACGAUCACUGA
rnacentral:rRNA from 1 species